rnacentral:rRNA from 1 species
UACGUAGGUGGCAAGCGUUGUCCGGAUUUACUGGGCGUAAAGAGCGCGCAGGCGGUCGUUCAAGUCGCGUGUGAAAGCCCCCCGGCUCAACUGGGGAGGGUCACGGCGAUACUGAUCGACUCGAAGGCAGGAGAGGGAAGUGGAAAUUCCCGGUGUAGUGGUGAAAUUCGUAGAUAUUCGCAAGAACACCAGUGGCGAAGGCGGCUCACUGGCCCGGUACUGACGCUGAGGUGCGAAAGCGUGGGGAGCAACAGG